rnacentral:rRNA from 1 species
GACGAACGCUGGCGGCGUGCUUAACACAUGCAAGUCGAACGGUAAGGCCCUUCGGGGUACACGAGUGGCGAACGGGUGAGUAACACGUGGGUGAUCUGCCCUGCACUUCGGGAUAAGCCUGGGAAACUGGGUCUAAUACCGGAUAGGACCAUGGACUUCACGGUUUGUGGUGGAAAGCUUUUGCGGUGUGGGAUGGGCCCGCGGCCUAUCAGCUUGUUGGUGGGGUAAUGGCCUACCAAGGCGACGACGGGUAGCCGGCCUGAGAGGGUGUCCGGCCACACUGGGACUGAGAUACGGCCCAGACUCCUACGGGAGGCAGCAGUGGGGAAUAUUGCACAAUGGGCGCAAGCCUGAUGCAGCGACGCCGCGUGAGGGAUGACGGCCUUCGGUUGUAACUCUUUCAAUAGGACGAAGCGCAA